rnacentral:rRNA from 1 species
GACGAACGCUGGCGGCGUGCUUAACACAUGCAAGUCGAACGGAAAGGCCCUGCUUGCAGGGUGCUCGAGUGGCGAACGGGUGAGUAACACGUGGGUGAUCUGCCCCUUACUUUGGGAUAAGCCUGGGAAACUGGGUCUAAUACUGGAUAGGACCAUGCUGUAGGUGGUGUGGUGGAAAGAUUAGUUUCGGUAAGGGAUGAGCUCGCUGCCUAUCAGCUUGUUGGUGGGGUAAUGGCCUACCAAGGCGUCGACGGGUAGCCGGCCUGAGAGGGUGGACGGCCACAUUGGGACUGAGAUACGGCCCAGACUCCUACGGGAGGCAGCAGUGGGGAAUAUUGCACAAUGGGCGCAAGCCUGAUGCAGCGACGCCGCGUGGGGGAUGACGGCCUUCGGGUUGUAAACUCCUUUCAGCCAUGACGAAGCCCUUGUGGUGACGGUAGUGGUAGAAGAAGCACCGGCUAACUACGUG